AGAUAAAACUGCUUGUGUUGAGUUUGAGCCACAACGGAAAAGAAAAGAAAAAUCUCAUGUCCUUGAAAUAAUCUGAUUGGGGUGCAUGAACAAGUACCAUUAAGUUUAUGCUGCCGAGAGGUAAAGUGAUUUCUUUUCUCCCCUCCUGAACAAUUCCCAGUAACCCAGGAAUCGAUCAGAAGCCAAGGCCAGAGUGCUGCUGUUGCAACGGCAACGAGUGAGCUAUUAAGAAAGCCUGCAACAAAUCUCCAGCCUCCGGUGUCUUUCAGAAGCCAGAACUAUAGACCUGUGGCUUACUGGACAGUCACGGGCAAGGUGAACUACACAUCACUAAGUCUAUUCUGGUUUAACCCACGGAUAUGGAUGACGAAAGGAGAAAUUCAGAGAGAGGCUAACUUCAGGUAAACCAUGCUUCUGGGCUGCAGGAUGCCUCCUGAGAGGGUGGACUACUCUGCUGGAUGGCUUUCCUUUGCCAACCCACUCCUUCCCAGUUGUGCCUCUGUGGACACCGACUUCUGUAGCCCUGUGAUGAACAACUCCAGCAGCCAGGCUCGAUCUGUUUUUACCUCUGUGUGAGAUCUCCCUGCUUUCCUCCAGCUAUCAGGUUCACGAAGAGGCUCCUCCCCUCGCACAUCUUCCUCGGGUCCGUUCUGUUUCCAUGGGAUUUGGGCUGGAUUCAGGAUGAGCACGGAUGAGGAGGAAAAGCCACAGGAAGAGUAAAAAUACCUGGCACUUGACUUCUUCAGACACAGUCUGGAAGAUGUUGUCUUUUCCAUCAACACCCAUGAUCUUAGAAAUAAUGGUUCCUAGUUUACUGAUUUUUCUAAAGUCACUCAGAAUUGGGAGGAGAAAUCAAAAUUUUCUCAUCUCUAAGCAGCUUGACUCAUCAUAACUCCAACCCCUAAAAGGAGUUUGUUCUUGAUGUUGGAAACCAUCUGCAGCUCUGGACCCAGUCUUCCUCAUUCAGUAAUACCAAGUAGAAGUGUGUCCACUGGUCUUAAACCUCUGUCUUCCGUGACCAUUAAACUAUAAACCACAAAAGGAUUCACAGACUUCUCUUCAUUCCCAGAAUUAAGAAAUCCCACUGAGAUCUGGGAUUCAAGGGCACCUCUUGAUUAAAUUUGUCAUUCAAUUGGCUUCCUAUGAAGCUCAAGACUGAAGAAGUUUUUUUCUAUUUGCAAGUAAAGAAAUCAAUAUUUUCAUAA
rnacentral:sRNA from 1 species